rnacentral:lncRNA from 1 species
GAAUGCUGAGAGGCUACACUGUAGACCGCAAUCUGCUAAACAUGUGUAUAGGUAACAGUACGCACAUGAAUUGUUCCAUUGUGGUUAGGUAAGUAUUUGUAGAAUUGGGGCCUAGAACUUUAAACUCUUUGGGGUGGGAUUGUGUCUUCAUAUGUUUGCAUGGUGUCUUACACAUUGUGGGGACUAGUAUACAAAUAAUCAAUUUUGUCCUCAUGCAAAUUAAUAAAAAAUGGCAUCCCAUGGUGCAGCACAAAUGAUUUCAUCAUUGGAUGUGAUGUAGAGUUACGUGACAAAACAAUCCUAUAUUUACAACAUAAUUUUUCUUAACCACCAAAAUUUGGUUCUGGCUACUGACAUGCAUUUUUUAAUACUCAUGAGCGGGUUAUAUGUCACCGCAAACAUUUGAACAAAUGCCUUUGUCUUGCUUUGCAUUUUCAUUUUUCUUAUAUGCCCCUUCUAUGUUAUGUUCACUCCAUUGGUUCCAUCAUGAUCUGCUUCUCAAGAAGAGCUUGAAAUAGUUUGCAAACCCUGUCCCAUCUCCACACUCUUGAAAGUAGAACGUCCAUGCUCUUCUUACACAAUGCUGCUUUGACCUAUACUGGAAGCCACCUGGUGCUUUCCAACUACAGUGAUGAUGAGAAAAUCAGCUACAUAACAUGGUGGAACUUAGAAGCUGGAAAGGUUACGAAGCGAUUAAAAAAUGAGCCAAAUGUGCGUUGUGCGGCCAUUACAGAUGAUGCCAGUCGAAUUAUUUUUGGUGUCGUGAUGGAAAACAGGAUUAAAGUUUGGGAUACAUUUCAUCAUAGGCACAAGAUUAUUCCAGGUUAUGAAAGUCUUCAACUCACUAUAAACAGCAAACUGCAUAUAUUAGAAGGAGGGGCAAAAGCAGUACUACCUGCAGGUGAAGUAAGUCUGUGGGACUUGGACAGCUGUUCAGUUAUGUCGGUCUUUACACCUGACAGCAAUAUCUCCUGCCCAACAGUAGCGCUGGACAGGAAGACAAUUCUUGUAGGUAUGAGUGACAGCCCUGCUCUUAUCAUCUUGAAAAAAUCAAGUGCCAAAGUCACUGUGAAUUCUACUGAUAGAGACUUAUUUGGAGAAGAAUCUACUAGCAGUGAAGAAGAAUCUGAAGGAAACUAGAGAAUAUCAAACGAUUAAGGAAUCUAGAGAUAUUGAUACUUAAACAUUUAGUACAGGGGUGGCCAACCUGAGUCUGAGAAGGAGCCAGAAUUUACCCAUGUACGUUGAUAAAGAGCCACAAUAAUACAUCAGCAACCCCCAUGAGCUCUCCCACCCACCGGCAGCCCCGACGAUCAGCGCCUCCCCCUCCCUCUCCGCACCUCCCAAUCAGCUGUUUUGUGGCAUGCAGGAGGCUCGGAGGGGGAGGAACGAGGGCAUAGCAGGCUCAGGGGAGGGGGUGGGAAGGGGUGGAGUGGGGGCAGGGCCUGUGUCAGAGCCAGGGAUUGAGCAGUGAGCACCCCCCCGCACAUUGGGAAGUUGGUGCCUGUAGCUCAAGCCCCGGAGUUGGUGCCUAUACAAGGAGCUGCAUAUUAACUUCUGAAAAUCCGCAUGUGGCUCUGGAGCCACAGGUUGGCCACCCCGAUUUAGUAUAUCUGAGGUAUCUACACCCAUAGAAUGGGUGAAAUCCUGGCUCCACUGAGGUUAGUAGAGCCAGGAUUUCAACCAAUUUGUCUUUGCCUUUGAGACUAAUAAUGCAACACUUAACCACAUUCAUCUAAUGACCACAAGUUGUUGCUGCCCCAAUUAUGUACAAUGCACAUCAUUUUAAAACCAGUCAAUUGAAGUAGGUAGUUACACCAGGGAUGCAUCUGGCUUUCACACUUCAGCAAAUGUUUCAUGUAUUCUUGCAUAACAAUAGUAGUCACACAUAUCCCACUCCAUUAAUCCUUAGACAUGUGACAAAAUCUGAAAUAAAGAGAAUUACUCCUGUGAGUAAGGGUGACA